UACGUAGGGUGCGAGCGUUGUCCGGAAUUAUUGGGCGUAAAGGGCUCGUAGGCGGUUUUGUCGCGUCGGGAGUGAAAAACACUGGGCUUAACUCAGUGCUUGCUUCCGAUACGGGCAGACUAGAGGUAUGCAGGGGGAGAACGGAAUUCCUGGUGUAGCGGUGAAAAUGCGCAGAUAUCGGGAGGAACACCGGUGGCGAAGGCGGUUCUCUGGGCC
rnacentral:rRNA from 1 species